CCAAACUCAACCUUUCAGACCUCCUCCCAGAAGAAGGAAGAGAUUGACGGAAGUGUUGGCUUGACAACCUUGACAACGCUUUAUAUUUGCUAAACAGCAGUACGGGAGACAACAUGCCUGAAGUCAAGUCCAUAUUCAGAGAGGUUUUACCUAAACAAGGGCAGCUUGCCAUGGAAGACGUUCCUACCUUGGUGCUCUGCAAGCCCAAGCUGCUCCCUCUCAAGUCGGUCACGCUGGAGAAACUGGAAAAGAUGCAGAUGGAGGCUCAAGAAGCCAUCAAGCAGCAGGAAUUGGCAUCCAGGCAGACCCAGUAGACCCCUACUACCUUGAACUGUAGCGAAUGAAAGGUGGAUGGCAAAACCUGCUAGGCUAUUUUUAGUGGAUUGUACCCGACUAUAAUUAGUGACCUUAUUACACGAAGCUUACCAAGGACCCUGCAUCUAAGCUAUUACAGGAAAACGAGUCUUUACUCUAAUUAGAGUUGUUAUUUAAUGAUUGCUUGCUUGAUUGACUCAUGUUUUGCUUGUUAUUUUGAUGCAAGACACUAUUAUAAAUAUGUCACGUUUGUACGUUUUCUGUAUGUUUGUAUCUGUAUGGUGGUGCACAUGAGUAAAGAAUAAGUAUUA